AUCAGGUAAUAGAUGAAGAAAGCUUUCUGCUUUUAGAUGAGGGGACCAUCAACUGUAUAAUCCCAAAAAUUGGCCCAAGGCUAAAGUUCAUGAAAUACUUCAGAGAAUUUGUAAGUAGUUAAGGUCACUGCGGAUUGAAAGGGCUUAAUUUUCCCCACUUUUAGCACUAUUAUUUUAGCAGAUCAUUUGUUAAAGUUUCCCAAGACAGAUGGCAUAUGUUUGCUUUCGGUGUAAAAGGCAAAUUCCUGGGAAUGUCAGGAGUCUCUUUACACAUUUACGAGCAGUACACCAUAUAAACAGUUCAUCAACAUAUUUCCAAUGUAGUGAAAGUGGUUGUGGCAGAACUUUUUCUUACAUCAGGUCUUAUAGAAGACUUAUAGUGAAGCAGCAUGAAAACCAAGUUGAACAGACUCUUGAUGAGCCUCUCGAACAGCCGGCCCAGCCUGACGAUGAACUUAAUGCCGAAGAGGAAUUAGGACAGGAAGUUGAGGAUGAAUGGGAUGAACUACAGCAAGAGGGCAUUAUCGAACGGGUGGCCCUUUUUUUUAGCUAAUCUGAAGUCUAAAUCUGCCCAGACAUUUUCUAACUUAAACUUUGUGGUACAACAGACCUCUAGUUUAAUCUGCGAUAUUGUGAGCAGACUAAUAUGGUCUUGAUCAAAGCCCAAAAGUAGAAGAGCUCAUGUUGCAGUUCUCUGAUGCAGCUGAGCCUUUCAGAGAACUGGAAACAGACUAUAAACAGAUGCAGUAUUUUGCAAAAUCAGGAAACUUUAUUCACCCAGUUGAGGAGUUUUUGCCUGGGGUUUCCUAUGUACAGCAAUGGGAUUCCACCACUGGCACUGUCCGAUAAGUUGCAGUUCCUGAUUCCUAUCAGCAUAUUCCACUACAGUGCCUUCUUGUCAGGCUACUUGAAAUUCCUGGUAUUUUGAAGGCCAUGAUGAAAUGGCAGCAGAGAGAGGGUGAUGCACUUCAGGAUGUCUUUGAUGGGGAGUUUUGUAAAACGCAUCCACUAUUCUUGAAAGAGGUUUCAGUUCCGCUACUGCUGUACAGUGAUGACUGUGAAACUGUCAAUUCCCUUGGAACGAAGACUGGGAUUCACAAGUUAGGAUUUAUAUAUUUCAUCAUGAAGAGCUUGCCACCGGACCUGCUAUCAAGUUUGCGGUCACACUUUCUUCUAGCAGUUUACAAAUCAGAUGAUGCAAAGACCUAAAGUCUUGAUGCAGUGCUGUGCCCUAUUGUUGAAGAGAUCAGGUGUCUUGAGAGGGAUGGCAUCACUGUUGAUACCCCCGACUUUCAUGGUGUUGUUAAGUUCACAGUUGUCCAGGUAGUGGGAGACAAUCUGGGCUUGAAUGCCAUUCUUGGCUACACUGAAAGCUUCCAUGGAAAUUAUGUAUGUCAGUGGUGCAGAGCAAAUAGAGAUGUCUUGAGGGUGCAGACACAGGAAGAUACUGGAUUAUAACGUGAUGUCCAUAGUCACAAAGCAGAUUUACGUACAGCCAACCUGUUCUGGGCAAUGCGUUUUGAGGCUAAACAUGGAUUCUUCAAACGGGUCAGUCAUGUCACGUGCAACUUCCGAAACAUUUGCAAAACCAUGGCUUUUCGGCAUCAGAUAAUGCAGUGUUACAAUUUUAUGUGUGGCUCUGUGUUAAGCCACAAUGCAGAAGUUGGUCCAGGGCACACUACCUUUCUUGGCAACUUUGAGGGGGUUAAAGAGAUCCAAAGUGGUCUAAUAGGUAUUCCCCUUUUCAGUGAAGUGUUUGUGCCGGCCCGAGUUACCUUUCAGGGCACUUCAUAUAGAGCAGGCAUGACAGUAUUCAUGUCCUAUGACCCAGAUGGAGAGCCCCAAUUUGGGCUCAUAAAAACCAUUUUCAUUCUGGGACAAACAACACACACACCAACAAUAAAGCUUGUGGUACAGCAGUGGGAAACAAAAGGGUUUGAGAGGCAUUUCUUUGCAUACAGUGUGAGCCCCACUCCAGUUUUGGCAGCUGUUGAUGUGAGAGAGCUGCGUGAUCAUCAUCCACUACAUGCAGUCAAGUCAUACAGAGAGCAUGAUGACAAUUUCUACAUUUCUCUACGCUAUAGACAUUUUUAAAGUACAUCAGCUGAGCCCCCAGCAAAUCCAUGUAUAUAUGAAUACUGUUUUUUCAGUUUGACAUAUCGGUAUAAAGGUCUUGCUUGACAAAACAUGCUUACAACUUGAAAUAAUUGUCUUAUUUGUUUAGUCGAUAGUCAUUUAUUUUGUAUAAAAAGUCAUUCUGUCUAAAAUGCACGAGGAUGCUCAGUAUUUGUUCUGUAUUGGACUAAUUGGAUGGGAUAAAUUGGACUGUAAGUAUUUAUACAUAAUUUUGCUUUUAUUUCUUCUAAUAUGUGUAUAAGCUCAAUAUGUGUUAUACUAACUUUGCUUUUCUGCUUGGACUGGAAAUGCUGUGCUACCUUCUACACCACAUACAAGCUCUGAUGCCCCACCAACUGCCAUGCCUCCAUUCCCUGUGGAGGAACAAACUGCACCAGUGGGUCUGAUAAUGCCAUGUGUACUACACCUAGUUCCAGAAUUUGAUGUCCGCCAGAUUCUCACAGCCUCAAAUGAUGGCAGGGCAAUUCUUGAAAGCCUUGAUGAGGAUGGUAUGAUCACAAUCAAGCAGAGAUGACGCCUGGUUCGAAUUUUGGUGUCACACCUCAUGGAGAAGUUUGGAGAAAGAUCUACCUCCGAAACAAAAAAGGCCUUGGCUUCAUCUUUGGUUUAGGCUUUUCCCUGCUUGAAAGACACAUCAGGCAGUGGUUGCGAUAUAUGGUAUACCCAAGGCCGGAACCACCAUCCAGCCACCAAAGGAUUUCUUGAAGAGAGGCUUAGGAACAUUAGAAAGAAGCUGAGAUCUGUGAGCAGGCCACAAAGGCAAGAAGAUGGUGAGCCUGAACGGGCAUACAUACCAGACUCUACUAUUUCCGAAGAGAGAGCCAAACAACUAAAAGAACACAAUUCUCACAAACACAAAACUAAGAGACACAAUUCUCAGCCCCUCAGCCAAGUGUCGGCAUACAUGCAGGAUACAGUCCUGUACACAGUGGAUAAGGGGAAAUAACUUUAAAGAUAUACGUGAGAUCCUACAAGAGUUCCUACAUCUAACCAAUCCGGGCAUGAUUGCACAGGACCUUCUUUCAUGGAGAGGCUGCACCAAAACCUUUUGAAACAUGGCUGCCUAUAUAUGCAGACAAGAUCCCACACCUGUUGAGACGGGAAAAGAAACUGCAAUUUCCUGUACAUGAAAUGACUGGGUAAAAUUGUUUUUUUUUUUUUUUUUUUGGAAUACCUCCAGCAGGCUGAAGUGUCAAGGCCGUACCCCUACAUCCUGACGUUGGGAGAUAAUGACCAGCGCUGCUCUCAGGCAUUCGUCAUUCUGGUGGGACAGGCUCUGGAGCAAAGCACAAUACUUGGGGCAGUUGAUGUGUGCUUCAAGGCAUUUUAUAUUUUUGACAUUAACUAUCCAAAGCAGUGUGCUCCUGUAUGGGAAUUUAUCCAGAAAGUGGUCUAUGAAAUGGGAGGAAGUGAGUCCAGACCUGUGAAAUUUAUACAUUCAGCAAUACUUGCUUGCAAGUAGAGACUAGAGGACUUGAUUCUUUAAUUCUGCUGCCCAUUGGCUCAGAGUAGUUCCAUGUAUCUUAUCUAUGGUUCUACCCACUAAACAGUUUGUUUAGUUGGUAACUGUUUAUUGUAUUUAUGUGUAGUGUUUCUGUGAAAUAGAGACGCCUACUUGAAAGUAAUAGGCAAUGUUUGUAAGUAUGUUACAAUGAGAGCAGGGCUGGAUAGUUUUGUACUGCAGAGAAGCUAUCUGAAGUCACAGAGAGAUCCUGCUCUGUAGCAGCUGCCCCAGCCUGUUUGUGCAAUUACAGUACUCCAUU